rnacentral:lncRNA from 1 species
GACGCAAGCAUGCCACUCUUCUCAACUCAAUGGAAAUGAACUAUGAAAUAAUGUUGAACUUUGAUCUCUACACCAACUAUACUUCUUUCCUCAACAUCAAAUUUGACGUGGUUGAAAUUUGAGCAUCAAUUUUACUCUUGAUCAGAGCAAACUUAGCUCCUCUGAAGUAUAGAACCUUUUGAUGGCUAACUAAAUGUGCUAUGUGCAUUCUAAUAUAGGAGAGAAAUCCUACCUUUUCUGCUCUGCUUCUAUAGAUGCUCACAAAAACAUUAUUCUAUAAUCUUUAUUUUACACUUUCCAUAUAUUCAUCUUACAUCUAGAAGUCCGUAUAUUAAUUGGCAUUUAUAACACACUAGUACAUAAAUCUUUAUUAGAGAUGGGCAGAAUGAGUUAACGGAGUCGGGCAUUGCAUCCGCCUCCAAUCAAUAGUCACUAUUAAUGGUAGACCAUGGAGGCGGUUAAUCAGUAUGAAAAAACAAAAAAAAUGAAAAAGCUCAUAGCCCAGACCUAGCGGGCCUAGACUGGGCCUCGUGCCGCCACCACUGCACACCGCUACCACCGGGGGAGCGAGCCCUGCCCUAUACGCGCCAUAGUCAAGGUUGCUUGAUCAGCCAUGUGCACAUCCCUUGUUGCCGGAUUUGGCCAGUGCACCUUCGCUAGAGGCCGCCGCACUUCUGCCUCACACCACCACACCUCCACCACAUCUGGCUGCAUGCACUCUCUCCUGUCGUAUCCCGGAGGUGGUAGAGGGGUAGCAGGCCGCCACCACCAUG